rnacentral:rRNA from 1 species
AGCGAACGCUGGCGGCAGGCUUAACACAUGCAAGUCGAGCGGGCAUCCUUGUGGUGUCAGCGGCAGACGGGUGAGUAACGCGUGGGAACGUGCCCUUCGGUUCGGAAUAACUCAGGGAAACUUGAGCUAAUACCGGAUACGUGCGAGAGCAGAAAGGUUUAUCUGCCGAAGGAUCGGCCCGCGUCUGAUUAGCUAGUUGGUGAGGUUACGGCUCACCAAGGCGACGAUCAGUAGCUGGUCUGAGAGGAUGAUCAGCCACACUGGGACUGAGACACGGCCCAGACUCCUACGGGAGGCAGCAGUGGGGAAUAUUGGACAAUGGGGGCAACCCUGAUCCAGCCAUGCCGCGUGAGUGAUGACGGCCUUAGGGUUGUAAAGCUCUUUUCUCCGGGACGAUAAUGACGGUACCGGAGGAGUAAGCCCCGGCUAACUUCGUG